ensembl:lncRNA
AUUUUAAGCAGGGCCACACGUGAUAGGGGUGUACGAGCGCUCUGUGCAUGCCGACGUGGAUACGCCGCUGUGCGCGCUUAAAGACACACGCGGGUGGCGCGGGGUGCCCGGGGCCGGCGGCACUGUAGCCCGUGCGGAGGGGACCGGCUGCGGCCGUGCCAAGGGAACCCCGCAUACAAACAGCCACUUCUGUCAGCUGCCCGCGGGCCGCGUCCCGCCCACGCGUCAGAAUCCANNNNNNNNNNNNNNNNNNNNNNNNNNNNNNNNNNNNNNNNNNNNNNNNNNNNNNCUCGUCGUCCCUUGCCUCCUCUGCCCCCCGCCCGCCCCGCGCUGCCCCGCGGGCCCCGCUCCGCGCCGCCGUGCCGCCUCCUCGCGUUAAUCCGCGGCACAAUGCCGCGGGCAAUAAGCGGCCCUUCCUGCUGCCGGUUGGGGGGGUAGGGAGCAGACAGUUUAAACUUUUAUUCCAUAGAGGGGAUUAAUAAAUAAAUAAAUAAAUAAAAGGAAAGAAAGAAAAAAAAAAAAAAGGAAAAAAGAAAACACGGCUGGGGAGGGGAAGCACCUGGGAAUGGGUCUCCCGCUCCCCCCGGGGAAAGUAGCUCCCCUCGGCCGCCCUGCAGCCCGAUCGCUGCCGGCCCCUGGAUAAACACGCGAGCACAAAAGCAGCCCCGAGCGCCGUGUGGCCGCGCACGGAGCUGCCUCCUGUGAGAACAGGCUGCGGCCGGGCCCGGAGAGGGGCGCGGGACUCCGCGCAGACCGGGGCCCGACGGGAGGGGGGCCGGGACCGGGAGCGGGGCCGCGGUUGUGUUGUAAGCGGCGGCAGCAGUGCCCUUUUGAAUGCCUCCCGCAGCUCGGAGUGCUGGCAGGGCGCUGGGAGCGCCAGUGAAUGUAGCCCCGCAGAGCCAAUGAGCUGGGACCGGAUGCGAUAUAUCCUCUGGGACAACAACUGCUCUGUUCCUCCUCAGAUCCACAUGACGCCAUUUACUGCUGCUUUUGCAGAGAGAUCACCCUACCUCCUCCGGAAAGAAAAAGAGAGAGAGGGAGAGAGAGAGCAAGCAGAAAAACGCCGAGCCCCUCCAGCUCAGAUCUCAAAUCUUCCUCCUCCUCCUCCACCUCCUCCAAACACACAACAACAACUACCACCACAAAUCCGCUGCGCUCCCCAAACACCCCCCCGCUCGCAAACCGCAGAGCCGCCUGCAACACACACACACAUACACGCACACACACACACACACACACACACGCUCGCAGAGGGAGCGAGAAAGCCGAGGGAGAGAGGGAGAGGAGCGUGCGGCGAGCGGCGUUCGGCAGCGCGGCCCCCCUGCCCGGCUGCUGCUGCUGCUUCCUCGGAGGAGCUCGCUGGAAGAAAGCUUUGCCAUCGGAUUUUAGAUCCAUUUGAUUUCGUUUUCUGUGGCUUUCCCCUUCCUCUCGAUCCUUUGCAACGGCAGCAAAAAAAAAAAAAAAAAAAAAAAAAAAAAAAAAAAAAAGGUGCUGGCGGUUCGGCCUCCUGUUCAUUGAGGGAGAAAAAGGGCUGGAUUUAUUUGCAAACCACAGGAAGAAGAAAAUACAACAGAGAGAGGGGUUUGGUGCAGCGCCGCGAUCACGGAUUUCAGAUGUGUUCUAAGCCUGCUGGGGU